CUGAACAGAACUAGGAGUGUUUCAGGGCAGUAAACUAUAUAUCAACAAUAAUAUUAUCAGUGAAAGUACAGAUUUUAUGUGAAAAAUUCAAAAAAACAACAACAAAUGCUAACUUUGGCUAGGGUUUGUGCCCAAGUGGCUAAUACAAAAGACUGGGCAUACCCCAUUUGGAUACCCUGGGAUGUCUACUUUUUCAAAUGGUGUGCCAUGAUGGAGGUAAUUUUCAUUUUUUGGCUGCCAUACGGUCUCAAAGAAAGCCUGGACACGGCAAACCAAUCUGUCAAAUUUCUAUGUAGAAAAUAAAAUAAUGGAC